AGUGAACGCUGGCGGCAUGCCUAACACAUGCAAGUCGAACGGCAGCACACUAAGAGCUUGCUCUUACGGGUGGCGAGUGGCGGACGGGUGAGGAAUACAUCGGAAGCUACUUUUUCGUGGAGGAUAACGUAGGGAAACUUACACUAAUACCGCAUACGACCUACGGGUGAAAGCAGGGGAUCUUCGGACCUUGCGCGAUUGAAUGAGCCGAUGUCGGAUUAGCUAGUUGGCGGGGUAAAGGCCAACCAAGGCGACGAUCCGUAGCUGGUCUGAGAGGAUGAUCAGCCACACUGGAACUGAGACACGGUCCAGACUCCUACGGGAGGCAGCAGUGGGGAAUAUUGGACAAUGGGCGCAAGCCUGAUCCAGCCAUACCGCGUGGGUGAAGAAGGCCUUCGGGUUGUAAAGCCCUUUUGUUGGGAAAGAAAAGCAGCAGGUUAAUACGCCGCUGUUCUGACGGUACCCAAAGAAUAAGCACCGGCUAACUUCGUG
rnacentral:rRNA from 1 species